UUGCGUGAAGUUUGUAACGGUAACAUUGCAUGUUUAAUUUGCCUACAAUGAACCCGCUCCUUGAUAACCGUUAACUCAUAUAUUAUGUACAUCUUCUAAUUCAAAAGGAAAAGUUGAAAACUAUAGAGCAGAAAGUAGGUACAGAGUACAGCAAUGAGGGGAAGAAAAUGGUUAGGUUCAUUCCAACCAGAUUUCACUUCCAUUGUUUCAGUUCGUUCGACCCUCAUCCUCUUUGAAGAGUUGUUGUUACUGCUCAGGAGAAUUUGACGAGCAGUCGUGGCUAAACUCUAAGGUACCACCCAAACUUCAAUAUCUAUCUUAAUCUUUGUUGUAUGUGUAAAAUACCGCUUUUUAUGAAGUCAUCAUUCCUCUAAACAUUUAGCUAAUGCGCUUCCUCUAUCUUGUCCUAAUGUCCUGUACCUUGUGCUUCUCCUCUCUUCUGGACCAACCUUACUCCUAGCAACCUCUGCUAUCAUAUCAUGUCUGUGUUAGAUUCUCAAUCCACUGCCUCUAUCCAAGAACACUUUAUUGGUACUAAAACUGUUUCACAUUUAGUUUUGAAAUUCUUGUCAACUAAAAGUGAUGCAGGACUAAGACUCGCUCUUCUCGUCCAGAAGAACAGUUGUCUUCUUAGUUAACUAGUCAUUAGUUUUUGGCACCAAAGAAAGUCGAGAAGGUUGGUAUCUCAAGGUGGUUGUCGCUGAAGCAACUAUGGAAGCAGACUCUAUCAAAAAGUCAUGCGCAUCAAAGAAAUAAAAGGGCUCUCCCUCUCUUAUCUUGAACCUAGCUUUUCCAAGUUUCGAUGAACAAAGUGUGCAAUGGGUGGAGUGAGAUCACUACCACACCAUUUUUAAUUUAUCUAGUGAAGAUGGGCUUCGAGUGCGUACUAGGCGAGACUAUGAUUGAGUCAAGCGGACACCCGCUAAUAUGCACUUCCUUUCGCAAUUUGAAGCCAAGUCAUUGACGAGCCUCGAGGACCUUUCUAGCCUCCUCGCUUUGAUUUCAUUGCUUUCAUUUUCUCAUUCUCAAAGUAGAAAAAAGUCUUGCUUUGCCUCCUUCUUUCUUCGCUAGUUGAAAGCUAGACUCACAUGUCUACUUAUGAAGAUUAUGUCUUCCUCACUUGUUUAGAAAUAGCAUGAUGCUUAACACAUGUAAUUGGAGUCUAUUUUGGGGCUUACUUAAGUUCAUGCAAAGAAGAUUUAUAAGAGAAAAGUUUCCAA